AUUUGCAUAUACACACACUGUUAUUGCCCAUGCGCUUUAACGCCUCACACGUCGAGUUUAGCUACAAAAUGUAUCGUUUUAACAAAAUGCCGUUUGUAACGCGAUUGGGAGCUCAAGUCGACGGGGAACUCAUCUCAUCUCGACCUAAGCUAGUUUAGCUUGGCAGCUAACUAGCUUAGCUGGUGUUCUACUGUUUUCUGUUGCCGUCAACAAUGCUGUCUGUGAGCAGUAUUCACCGGUAGCAGUAGUCACCGAUGCCUACUAUCCACAGACCAAUGGACUGAACGAAAGAACCAGUCAGACCCUGAAAUUGCGCUUGGCCAAACUUGUGAAUGACAGACAGGAUGACUGGGACCAGUUCCUUCAUGAAGUUGCCUACUCCAUCCAGAAACAGGCUACAACAAAGUACACCCCGUUUUUCCUGAUGUUUGGACAGCACCCCAGGGCUGCAACAGAGGUCCUUGCAAACAUCAACAACACAAGAGAAACAGAAAGCAAAAAAAAAUAAAUAAAAGAAGAUGGGCACGAAGUCGAAGAAAUCAAAGAGCCAGGAGGGUCUGGGACCAAGUGGAGAACCAGACACAGACAGUCUGGAGCCCUUCAUGAGCCAAAGCGGGACUGAGGCCGUCAGAAAGUGGAAGAGCACAGCAUGGUACUUUUUCACCAAGGAACAGGAAGAAGACAUUGGUAAGUGGUACAAAAAGAAUGACUGUUUGUACAACUGCCGCCUCAACUGCUACAAGAAUGUGGAAAAGAAGCAGCCCUCUGAGGAGAAGAACACAAGAGUGGACACAGUCAUUGGCUCAUCCAGCCACUCACACCGCCAUCUCGUUAAAGGUGUUGGAUGAGAUGACAAGUCUUGCUCAAACAAAGGCACCCAGCCCCACCCCUUCCAGCUAAAUAUCAGGUGUUACGUACUGAGAUUACCCCUGUACCAGAUUUGUAUAUUCAGUAUCGCAAAAACUAGGGCAUUUGUCUGUACUGAGUUUACCCUUUCUGUGUGUGGAAACAAAGUCAAGUUUAAUGUGAAUGAAUUAUGGUCCUAUCUCUUAAUGAUAUUGCUUCCCUGGAUGCAGUGCUUUGUCUGAACAGGGUUCAAAUCAAAUGAACAGGGGAGUUAUUUUUGAAACCUGCUCUCCACCUCUUCACCUGAAGCUAUUCACCCCUGAUUACUUGUUUUGUUCAACCAGCAACCCAGACACUCAGCUGAGUUUUGACAGCCAUUCAAAAUCAUCACAAAGUUAACCAGUUAUAUUAAACCAGUUUAAAGUAUUUGAAUGCCUUUCAGAUUACUAGUAGUAGAAAGCAUACUUCAAUACUCCUGUGUUUAUAAGCCCUGAACUCGGUUGAUGUGCAGGUGGAGGCAACAUUCCACUUGUAUGGACCAUGCCAUAUGCACACUGGUAAAAAUUUGGAUUAUUAUUCUAAUUAUUAUUAUUUUAUUUUUAUUUAUUUAUUUAUUUUUUCCACAUACAAAAUUGACCACAUUUCUAAAAACACCAUGUGUUUUUGGUGUUGGAGCAAGGCUCCAAGCCUCAUGUCUGAGCUGCUGUUCACCAACUUCGCAUGUUACUGUAUAUUAAAGUGUUUAGGGUUAGGAUUAGGAUAAAGUAGUUCAGGGUUUAAUUAGUCUGAAAUGCAUAAAGCUACUAAAUUUGAGCAAUAGUUCCAGUUCUGGAAUAUGGCUUUGUGCAUUUCUGGAAGUGUUGGGCUGCAGCAAUAUUCCAAUAUGAUCCAGAACCAAUUUCUGAAUUUUUAAAAUUUACAGACUACAUGGAACACAAUCAUGUAACUCAAUGGGAGGCCAAGAGAGAGGACGUUUGAGGUACCUACAUGCAUGAGGUGCCUCGGGUUUGUACCUGGAUGCUGCCGUACAGUGGAUGACCUAUCAAGGAUCUAAGCAUUUGAACAGUUGGCAGCGUGGGUGGCUGCCAUCCAGCACCCACGGCAGUUCCAUAUUGUGCUGGACAAUCCUUAUUACUCAUCUUUUUUGCUGGUCUUUGACCCUAAUCACCAAUGUUUGAACCUUGCUAAUGAAGUUAUGUUCUCAUUACUGUUUAUCUGACUUUGAUCCUGAAACCAAAAUCAAAGGAAUGGAGAGGAAAGGUCAAGGAUCAAAGUCAAGAUUUGUCCCUUGUUCAGGAUCAAAGGAGUGUUUUGAGGCUCAUCGCCACAUUUUAUGUUUUCUUGAAUGAAAAUCCUUCAGUGCCCCACUCCACCAUUAAGCUCUGACCACUGAUGCAACAGACAGAAGUUACACUGUCCACAGUUUGUCUAAUCAUAGCCACAAAAGCCUAGAACUCCAUCAUAAUUAUCAUGUUGUCUUCCCUCACUUGCCUCUUUGUCAGUCACUCAGUGUUUGUUUAUAUAAAUGUAACACAUAGUCAGUGAGUUGGAAAUGUUCAUGUAUCCAUCUCAAUUUCUCAGAAGAAAUAUGGUUGUAAAAGUGAUUUGUAAUGAAAAUAACACUUUGUUCAAUCACUUAUUUCUGAAAAUGGAGGGACUGCAUAAAAGUUUGAACAAUUUCUAAGUUGUUAAUGGGAUAUUUUUAACCCUUUGAAUUAAAGCUGAAGCUCUGCA